rnacentral:rRNA from 1 species
UACGUAGGGGGCGAGCGUUGUCCGGAUUUAUUGGGCGUAAAGAGCUCGUAGGCGGUUUGGUAAGUUGGAUGUGAAAUCUCCAGGCUCAACUUGGAGGGGUCAUUCGAUACUGCCAUGACUAGAGUUCGGUAGGGGAGUGUGGAAUUCCUGGUGGAGCGGUGAAAUGCGCAGAUAUCGGGAGGAACAUCAGUGGCGAAGGCGGCCCUCUGGUCCAGUACUGACACUCAAGUGCGAAAGCGUGGGGAGCAAACAGG